rnacentral:rRNA from 1 species
CCUACGGGAGGCAGCAGUAGGGAAUCUUCCGCAAUGGACGAAAGUCUGACGGAGCAACGCCACGUGAACGAUGAAGGCCUUCGGGUCGUAAAGUUCUGUUGUUAGGGAAGAACAAGUGCUAGUUGAAUAAGCUGGCACCUUGACGGUACCUAACCAGAAAGCCACGGCUAACUACGUGCCAGCAGCCGCGGUAAUACGUAGGUGGCAAGCGUUGUCCGGAAUUAUUGGGCGUAAAGCGCGCGCAGGCGGUUUCUCAAGUCUGAUGUGAAAGCCCCCGGCUCAACCGGGGAGGGUCAUUGGAAACUGGGAAACUUGAGUGCAGAAGAGGAAAGUGGAAUCCCAAGUGUAGCGGUGAAAUGCGUAGAGAUUUGGAGGAACACCAGUGGCGAAGGCGACUUUCUGGUCUGUAACUGACGCUGAGGCGCGAAAGCGUGGGGAGCAAACAGGAUUAGAUACCCUGGUAGUCCACGCUGUAAACGAUGAGUGCUAAGUGUUAGAGGGUUUCCGCCCCUUAGUGCUGAAGUUAACGCAUUAAGCACUCCGCCUGGGGAGUACGGUCGCAAGACUGAAACUCAAAGGAAUUGACGG